rnacentral:rRNA from 1 species
GAUGAACGCUGGCGGCGUGCCUAAUACAUGCAAGUCGAGCGAAUGGAUUAAGAGCUUGCUCUUAUGAAGUUAGCGGCGGACGGGUGAGUAACACGUGGGUAACCUGCCCAUAAGACUGGGAUAACUCCGGGAAACCGGGGCUAAUACCGGAUAACAUUUUGAACCGCAUGGUUCGAAAUUGAAAGGCGGCUUCGGCUGUCACUUAUGGAUGGACCCGCGUCGCAUUAGCUAGUUGGUGAGGUAACGGCUCACCAAGGCAACGAUGCGUAGCCGAGCUGGGAGGGUGAUCGGCCACACUGGGACUUAGACACGGUCCAGACUCCUACGGGAGGCAGCAGUAGGGAAUCUUCCGCAAUGGACGAAAGUCUGACGGAGCAACGCCGCGUGAGUGAUGAAGGCUUUCGGGUCGUAAAACUCUGUUGUUAGGGAAGAACAAGUGCUAGUUGAAUAAGCUGGCACCUUGACGGUACCUAACCAGAAAGCCACGGCUAACUACGUGCCAGCCGCCGCAGUAA